AGUGAACGCUGGCGGUAGGCCUAACACAUGCAAGUCGAACGGCAGCACAGUAAGAGCUUGCUCUUACGGGUGGCGAGUGGCGGACGGGUGAGGAAUACAUCGGAAUCUACUUUUUCGUGGGGGAUAACGUAGGGAAACUUACGCUAAUACCGCAUACGUCCUACGGGUGAAAGCAGGGGAUCUUCGGACCUUGCGCGAUUGAAUGAGCCGAUGUCGGAUUAGCUAGUUGGCGGGGUAAAGGCCCACCAAGGCGACGAUCCGUAGCUGGUCUGAGAGGAUGAUCAGCCACACUGGAACUGAGACACGGUCCAGACUCCUACGGGAGGCAGCAGUGGGGAAUAUUGGACAAUGGGUGCAAGCCUGAUCCAGCCAUACCGCGUGGGUGAAGAAGGCCUUCGGGUUGUAAAGCCCUUUUGUUGGGAAAGAAAAGCAGCAGGUUAAUACCCCGCUGUUCUGACGGUACCCAAAGAAUAAGCACCGGCUAACUUCGUG
rnacentral:rRNA from 1 species